ensembl:lncRNA FAM238C family with sequence similarity 238 member C
UGUUUUUCUGAAAGCAGCUGCAGAAAUUUGUCUUUUUUUAGUUUGCAAAAAUUUCAGAGGUUAUGGGGGAAAGUGGGGUUCUAUGAAUCCCAGAUAGUACAUGAAGCAGAUUUGGUUUCAGUAAUUUUAGCAUAAUUCAUUGUAAGGUGAUGAUCCCUAGGAACUUCAUCACAGUGAGCAACCUGAAAGCUCCCAGCAGCCAGCAAUAAAUGAGGUGGGACGAGUCCACUGGCAGGGCGGGGCCUUAAGAGCCUGAUGCUUGAGCUCUGAAUUCCAAGUUGGGGGGACACAUGCAAAGGAUUCUGGGCCUGAUUGUUUCCUGUAACCAGGAUACAGUCUGGUUGGCAGGGCAACUGGCUUUCACUUGGUGGCCUUCAGUGGGUGUCCUCAUUGGUUGCCUUUGGUUAGUGCCCUCAGUUGGUACCCUCAGUUGUUUCUCUUCAGUUGGUGGUCCUCAGUUGGUGGUUUUCAGUUGUUGGGCAGCGGUGGAAGGAGGAUGAAUCUGUGCUCUCUCCUCCCCAGGCCACAGCUCUCAGGCUUGUUGCAUCCAGGCCCUUCUAAAAUAAACCAGACAGGUUGGCAGGUUUUUUUUUAGCAGACAAGUCAGCUCAGAGUACGGGGGUGACACGGGGUGCAGGCUGCUAGCGCAGUGCCACCCCAUGGCCCAGGGCUGCCCGUGCCAGCCAUGCUUUUGCCAGGAAGAGGCGAUAGGUGUUGAGCCCUGCAGACUUGGGUGCAAGCGAAGACCCAAGCUGCCUGAGAAGAGUAGGGGUGCCCCAUGGGGCCCACACUGAACUAUUGCAUAUGCACCAAAGCCAGCCCCAAUUGGCACAAGGGUUCACAGAGCCAGCCUGUGGCUCUGACGUCUACCAGCAUGCAGACUGUGAAGAUGCAGGCCGCGAUAUACGGGAGCAGAGGUGCCCAGAACAUGCUGUCCCCCAAUGCCAGCCACAAGUGGGGCUAUCUGAGGGUGUGAUGGGUGAAGCUGUCCUGCAGCUCUGAGAUCCACGAGGCAGAGGCAGCAGUAGCGCUGGACUCCACUGCUUUGGAGGCUGCCCAGUCGAAUUUGGGAGCCAGCAAGAGUCCUGACAGCAGCACAUUGGCCACCAGAAGACACCCAAAGGGAGAGGAGCGGAAGACCUUCUGGUGUGGGCUGGGCAGCAAUUCACUUGAAGGAGAAACAGCCCCGGUGUGGAGAGGCGGCCAUCCUUGGCGGGAUCCUUUCUAAGGAGCCGAGAAAUCAACGUAGAGCUUCCUCUGUCUGAUUCUCUAACAACUGCAGACCUUCCAUGAGUCAAGCUUUGUGUCAAAAGGACAAAUAAAAAGGACCUAUAAAAGGCAUCACCAAGCCCAAUGGACAGAUGCCCCAGGCUGCACAUUCUGUCAGUGCUGUUCUGGAAAAGGCCCAAACACAUGCUGAAACAUCGAAGGAUAAGAAGCCAGCCCUCGGGAACCGGCAGGAGCACUCUGGGCCCCGCACGGCCCCAAGUCCAGCCUGCCCCGCCUCCUCUGGUGCAGAGGUCCAGGGAUACCAGCAGCAGCCCCGCCACGCCCCUCCAAGGCCAAGAACACAGGCGGCAGGGGCUUCCCCUCCCUGCCAGACUACUUCCUGCCGCCACAGCCACCACCCUUGGACGACCCAGAGCUCCCGCCGCCCCUGGACUUCGUGCUCCCUCCCCCCGCGGUCGCCAAGAGGCCUCCUAAUGCCCCACCCCCGCAAGAGACACGAAGCAUCAAUGUUCAGAAGCAGCAAAUAAAUAAAAUAAAUGAAUAAAAGUUAAACGUUC